GUUCACUCCAGUUGCAUUUAUACUAAAAUUGGAAUGAUACAGAGAAGAUUAGCAUGGCCCCUGUGUAAGGAUGACACACAAAUUCAUGGAGUGUUCCAUAUAUUU